AUUGAACGCUGGCGGCAGGCCUAACACAUGCAAGUCGAGCGGAUGAAGGGAGCUUGCUCCUGGAUUCAGCGGCGGACGGGUGAGUAAUGCCUAGGAAUCUGCCUGGUAGUGGGGGAUAACGUCCGGAAACGGGCGCUAAUACCGCAUACGUCCUGAGGGAGAAAGUGGGGGAUCUUCGGACCUCACGCUAUCAGAUGAGCCUAGGUCGGAUUAGCUAGUUGGUGGGGUAAAGGCCUACCAAGGCGACGAUCCGUAACUGGUCUGAGAGGAUGACCAGUCACACUGGAACUGAGACACGGUCCAGACUCCUACGGGAGGCAGCAGUGGGGAAUAUUGGACAAUGGGCGAAAGCCUGAUCCAGCUAUGCCGCGUGUGUGAAGAAGAUCUUCGGAUUGUAAAGCACUUUAAGUUGGGAGGAAGGGCAGUAAGUUAAUACCUUGCUGUUUUGACGUUACCAACAGAAUAAGCACCGGCUAACUUCGUG
rnacentral:rRNA from 1 species